UACGUAGGGUGCGAGCGUUAAUCGGAAUUACUGGGCGUAAAGCGUGCGCAGGCGGUUCGUCAAGUCUGGUGUGAAAUCCCCGGGCUCAACCUGGGAAUGGCAUUGGAAACUAGCGAGCUUGAGUGUGGCAGAGGGGGGUGGAAUUCCACGUGUAGCAGUGAAAUGCGUAGAGAUGUGGAGGAACACCGAUGGCGAAGGCAGCCCCCUGGGCUGACACUGACGCUCAGGCACGAAAGCGUGGGGAGCAAACAGG
rnacentral:rRNA from 1 species